AGGAAUGCUUGGAGUGUCUUUUCUGUUAUUUAUAGGGGUUCUCUUAAGGCACACCAGCUGCCUGUUUUGCAUGGUAUUUGCAAAAAAAAAAACCAACAACAAAAAAAAAAAAACACCUCUUGCGUGAGGAAAUCUUUUACCACUUUUUGUUUGCAACUUUGGACCUCAAGAGGUUUCUUCCCUUCCCUGUUCCCUCUUUUCUUAAUUCGAUAUUCUGGAUGUCGCACCUGUAACCAGCACACGGGGCUCUUUCUCCAACUUAAAAUAAAAGAACUGUCCCUGUCAAAAAGAAAAAAAAAAAAAGGUUGUCAUUAUUCCAGCAACAGAGAUUCUCCCAAACCAUAUGCAAAAAUAAAUCCGAGGACCGGGCUGUAUCCCGGGAAACCUGGCAGCUGGGCCCGAGCUGGUGGGGUGGCCCCCAGGGACAGAGAGGCCAUGCCUAUGGGCCCCAGCCGCUUCUUCAGUGCAACCCAAAGUCUCGGGAAGACAGCCCCACCUCAGGGCCUCACCAGCCCCCGCCCCAUCAUUCUGGGAGGAAGAUUUGAUUUAUCUUGUCACCUCUCACAUUGGAGGGUUUGUCCUUAACCCAGGGCUGUGCAUGCCCUCGGGCCUGGAGGAAGGUCCUUGACCCAGAAACAGCUGUUCGAGGACAAAGGGUCACCAGAGGGAAAGGGAGGUCAGGGAGGAGACAGGCCGAAGGGAGGAGAAGGAUCUGGGAAAUGUGCCAUGGGAAAUCCUAACAGAAUGGCCAUGGGGGCUGGGCAGAUGAGGGGCAGGCGGAGAUGGCAGCAAGUUGUCAGGGAAAGGGGUGUCCUGGAAAGCAGAGAGCUGGUAGCCAAGGCCUUAGGGGGCUUGGUCUGGGAGAGUGUUGAGGCAGUGGAAAUGAACUAAUUAAUGAACUAAAUCCCUGUUCCUUUAAGACUCCUGUGCCAGGGAUGAGGGGUGUGGGCGGGCUGGGUAUUGGACUUGGCUGGCACUGGGGCCACAGAACUGGCCUUCAGGGACCUCAUUCUCUGGACAAUGACCCUUUGACGAGAGGGCAGCUUCAAGAAGUUGGGAAGGGGGGGCUGGUGUUGCAGGAAGCUUAGGAAACCCUUGGGGAACCCCCAGAGCAGACGGCCAGCCCACGCGGUGGGUGUUUGAGAAAGGACUGGUGACUUGUUAUUCCAACCCCAAAUGUGCUGCCUGUGAACCUCACCGCAGGUCUUUGCCCCUCUGGGUCUCUCUCUCCCCACGCGGAAAAUAACGUUUGUGUGGGGCUCACUGUACACCAGGAACCAUUCCACACUCUUCGCAUUUAAUUCAUUUAAUUUUCACAGCCCAAGGAGAUAGUUCCUAGGAUUAUUAUCCCCAUUUUACAGAUAGGGGAAACCGAGGCACAGAGCCUUGGUGUCUUCUGCCUGCCCCGGCACAGUCAGGAAGUCGUGGAGCUGGGACAGAACCCUAGGGGGCCCGACUCCAAGACUCCCCGGUUUCAACCGCUCCAGGAUCAGGAGGGGGUCGGGCUAGGCCCGCGCCCAGCGCCCGGCGCACAGAGCCCCGAAGGCCCAUCAUCUGGGGCGGGGGUGGAGAGGUUGAGGAUCCGGCCGGCAGUGAACCCUGGACCGGGCCAGCGGUUG
ensembl:lincRNA